UUCCCAAAUUGUUUUUAUUGAUAGAUGGGCCAAGCCCAGGGCCGAAGCCCAAACAGCACGAGAUUUAAACAAAAGCCCACGAUACUACGGGCCACAAAGCAUAAACACACAAUGGGCCAAAGCCCAAGUAAUACAAGACUGCCACACGGUCCAAACAACUAGAAACCGAGCUGUUCGCCCUAGGCGCACCGCAUGGAGACGCCACUACCGCCGGAGCUCCGAACCUGCAGAGCCUCCGCACGUACACAAACGUUCAUCGCCGUACUGUCUUCACGCCGGAGGGUUCAUCAGAUAACCGAGAUCGCCUCCGACUUUGGACCACCAGAAACGCUGGACAGU
rnacentral:lncRNA from 1 species